rnacentral:piRNA from 1 species
UCAGAUCACAACCGCCAGGGCC